rnacentral:rRNA from 1 species
GUGCCAGCAGCCGCGGUAAUACGGAAGGUCCGGGCGUUAUCCGGAUUUAUUGGGUUUAAAGGGAGCGCAGGCCGAUGAUUAAGCGUGACGUGAAAUGCUGGGGCUCAACCUUAGGAUUGCGUCGCGAACUGGUUGUCUUGAGUGUGUGCGAUGUUGGCGGAAUUCGUGGUGUAGCGGUGAAAUGCUUAGAUAUCACGAAGAACUCCGAUUGCGAAGGCAGCUGACAAGUACAUUACUGACGCUAAAGCUCGAAAGCGCGGGUAUCGAACAGGAUUAGAUACCCUGGUAGUCCGCGCGGUAAACGAUGGAUGCUCGUUGUUCGGUAUUGUUUAUUGAGCGACUAAGCGAAAGCAUUAAGCAUCCCACCUGGGGAGUACGCCGGCAACGGUGAAACUCAAAGGAAUUGACGGGGGCCCGCACAAGCGGAGGAACAUGUGGUUUAAUUCGAUGAUACGCGAGGAACCUUACCCGGGCUUGAACUGCAGCAGAACGAUAGAGAGAUCUUGAGGUCCUUCGGGACUGCUGUGGAGGUGCUGCAUGGUUGUCGUCAGCUCGUGCCGUGAGGUGUCGGCUUAAGUGCCAUAACGAGCGCAACCCUUCUCGUGAGUUACCAUCAGGUAAUGCUGGGGACUCUCGCGACACUGCCACCGUAAGGUGUGAGGAAGGUGGGGAUGACGUCAAAUCAGCACGGCCCUUACGUCCGGGGCUACACACGUGUUACAAUGGCGCGUACAGAAUGUCGGUCAUGGGCAACCAUGAUCCAAUCUUGAAAACGCGUCUCAGUUCGGAUUGGGGUCUGCAACCCGACCCCAUGAAGCUGGAUUCGCUAGUAAUCGCGCAUCAGCCAUGGCGCGGUGAAUACGUUCCCGGGCCUUGUACACACCGCCCGU